rnacentral:rRNA from 1 species
GACGAACGCUGGCGGCGUGCCUAAUACAUGCAAGUCGAACGCUUCUUUCCUCCCGAGUGCUUGCACUCAAUUGGAAAGAGGAGUGGCGGACGGGUGAGUAACACGUGGGUAACCUACCCAUCAGAGGGGGAUAACACUUGGAAACAGGUGCUAAUACCGCAUAACAGUUUAUGCCGCAUGGCAUAAGAGUGAAAGGCGCUUUCGGGUGUCGUUGAUGGAUGGACCCGCGGUGCAUUAGCUAGUUGGUGAGGUAACGGCUCACCAAGGCCACGAUGCAUAGCCGACCUGAGAGGGUGAUCGGCCACACUGGGACUGAGACACGGCCCAGACUCCUACGGGAGGCAGCAGUAGGGAAUCUUCGGCAAUGGACGAAAGUCUGACCGAGCAACGCCGCGUGAGUGAAGAAGGUUUUCGGAUCGUAAAACUCUGUUGUUAGAGAAGAACAAGGACGUUAGUAACUGAACGUCCCCUGACGGUAUCUAACCAGAAGGCCACGGCUAACUACGUG